rnacentral:rRNA from 1 species
AUUGAACGCUGGCGGCAGGCCUAACACAUGCAAGUCGAGCGGGGUUUUCGGACCUAGCGGCGGACGGGUGAGUAAUGCGUAGGAAGCUACCCGAUAGAGGGGGAUACCAGUUGGAAACGACUGUUAAUACCGCAUAAUGUCUACGGACCAAAGUGUGGGACCUUCGGGCCACAUGCUAUCGGAUGCGCCUACGUGGGAUUAGCUAGUUGGUGAGGUAAUGGCUAACAAAGGCGACGAUCCCUAGAUGGUUUGAGAGGAUGAUCAGCCACACUGGAACUGAGACACGGUCCAGACUCCUACGGGAGGCAGCAGUGGGGAAUAUUGGACAAUGGGCGCAAGCCUGAUCCAGCCAUGCCGCGUGUGUGAAGAAGGCCUUCGGGUUGUAAAGCACUUUCAGUAGGGAGGAAGCGUUGUGUGUUAAUAGUACACAGCGUUGACGUUACCUACAGAAGAAGCACCGGCUAACUCUGUGCCAGCCGCCGCGGUAACAC